AACGCACGAGACCUGCGGACCUGCGGAAGGAUCAUUGCAAAAAACAAAAAGUGUCUCCUGGCGGCAUUUAUGCCGACAGGGGAUAAAUUAGGUCGUCUGUGGGGGUAGUGGGUGAUGUAUCGUGUGAUAUGUCAUCUGCUUAUCCCUGGACAACACUAGCGCGUAUGUGUGUGGCAGUCUGUUUUCUCAACAUGCAUAACUUUUAGCAACGGAUCUCU
rnacentral:misc_RNA from 1 species